GACGAACGCUGGCGGCGUGCUUAACACAUGCAAGUCGAACGGUAAGGCCCUUCGGGGUACACGAGUGGCGAACGGGUGAGUAACACGUGGGUGAUCUGCCCUGCACUUCGGGAUAAGACUGGGAAACUGGGUCUAAUACCGGAUAGGACCACUGCCUGCAUGGGUGGUGGUGGAAGGCUUUUGCGGUGUGGGAUGGGCCCGCGGCCUAUCAGCUUGUUGGUGGGGUGAUGGCCGACCAAGGCGACGGCGGGUAGCCGGCCUGGGAGGGUGACCGGCCACACGGGAAGUGAGAUACGGCCCAGACCCCUACGGGAGGCAGCAGGGGGAAAUAUUGCACAAUGGGCGCAAGCCUGAUGCAGCGACGCCGCGUGAGGGAUGACGGCUUUCGGGUUGUAAACCUCUUUCAGCACCGACGAAGCGCAAGUGACGGUAGGUGCAGAAGAAGGACCGGCCAACUACGUGCCAGCAGCCGCGGUAA
rnacentral:rRNA from 1 species